GCUUAACACAUGCAAGUCGAACGGCAGCACGGGAGCUUGCUCCUGGUGGCGAGUGGCGAACGGGUGAGUAAUGUAUCGGAACGUACCCAGUCGUGGGGGAUAACUCUCCGAAAGGAGAGCUAAUACCGCAUACGUCCUGAGGGAGAAAGCGGGGGACCUGCAAGGGCCUCGCGCGAUUGGAGCGGCCGAUAUCGGAUUAGCUAGUUGGUAGGGUAAAGGCCUACCAAGGCGACGAUCCGUAGCGGGUCUGAGAGGACGACCCGCCACACUGGAACUGAGACACGGUCCAGACUCCUACGGGAGGCAGCAGUGGGAAAUUUUGGACAAUGGGGGCAACCCUGAUCCAGCCAUUCCGCGUGAGUGAAGAAGGCCUUCGGGUUGUAAAGCUCUUUCAGCAGGAACGAAACGGUCGGCUUUAAUAAAGUUGGCUAAUGACGGUACCUGCAGAAGAAGCACCGGCUAACUACGUGCCAGCAGCCGCGGUAAUAC
rnacentral:rRNA from 1 species